AACGCAGUAGACAAGUUCCUUCGGCUCAACACGAUGCCACUGGCCCGGGCAGGCACCCACGGGAAAAGGUGCUCCUGAGCGCCAGAAGGGCAUCUGCUGGGGGCUCCUGGCAGGGGACGGAAGCUGGGCAAAGAUGGGACAAGCAUGAAGCACAUUCUGCACACCAAAGCUCCUGAACCUGGAAACAGAAGGCAGCAGAAUGUGCCAAUCUCCCUCCCUUCUUCCUGCUUCUGGGACAUUCUCCAGAGGAUUAGAACCAAAACCGUGAGCUGCACUGCCACUGCUUUGAUCCAGGAUGUCAUCGUUUCUUACCUCAACUAUUGCAGUGGUCUCCAACUGGAUGCUAAUGAUGUUUCUUGAAAUUCUGCUUGUGAUUAUCUAAACUUGAAAAUUGGGAUAAGAAAGGUGAAGUGAGUUUUCAGGUUGUGUAAUGGAAUCUGCUGCUGCAGAGGAGUUUUUACCGAGGGAAAAGUAGGCCAGACUAAUGUUCAGGAUUCUGACAGUGAGUGUGCUUUGGCCCAAAAUGCAUCUU